rnacentral:misc_RNA from 1 species
GAUGAAGAACGCAGCGAAAUGCGAUAAGUAAUGUGAAUUGCAGAAUUCAGUGAAUCAUCGAAUCUUUGAACGCACAUUGCGCCCCUUGGUAUUCCGGGGGGCAUGCCUGUUCGAGCGUCAUUACAACACUCAAGCUCUGCUUGGUCAUGGGCUUCGCCUUCUCGUAAGGGGGCGGGCCUGAAAGAUAGUGGCUGGUGCUGCCUGAAAGCAACGUAUUGACUUCAUUAGGAAUCGUUGAACUGCAGGGAGGUGCGCCUUAUGCCAGACAAACCCACAAUUUUUCAGAAGUUUAACCUCGGAUCAGGUAGGGAUACCCGCUGAACUUAAGCAUAUCAAUAAGCGGAGGA